GGAUCAGUAGUGUAGUGGUAACACAUUGCACCUGGACGUGAAGAUGGGUGGUUCGAUUCUCUCCUAGUCCA
rnacentral:tRNA from 1 species